rnacentral:rRNA from 1 species
CUUAACUGGGAUAACUCCGGGAAACCGGGGCUAAUACCGGAUAGUUCUUUUCCUCGCAUGAGGAAAAGUGGAAAGGUGGCUUUUAGCUACCACUUACAGAUGGACCCGCGGCGCAUUAGCUAGUUGGUGAGGUAACGGCUCACCAAGGCGACAAUGCGUAGCCAACCUGAAAGGGUGAUCGGCCACACUGGGACUGAAACACGGCCCAAACUCCUACGGGAGGCAGCAGUAGGGAAUCUUCCGCAAUGGACAAAAGUCUGACGGACCAACGCCGCGUGAGUGAUGAAGGUUUUCGGAUCGUAAAGCUCUGUUGUUAGGGAAAAACAAGUGCCGUUCGAAUAGGGCGGCACCUUGACGGUACCUAACCAAAAAGCCACGGCUAACUACGUGCCAGCAGCCGCGGUAAUACGUAGGUGGCAAGCGUUGUCCGGAAUUAUUGGGCGUAAAGCGCGCGCAGGCGGUCUCUUAAGUCUGAUGUGAAAGCCCACGGCUCAACCGUGAAGGGUCAUUGGAAACUGGGGGACUUGAGUACAGAAAAGGAAAGUGGAAUUCCACGUGUAGCGGUGAAAUGCGUAAAUAUGUGGAGGAACACCAGUGGCGAAGGCAACUUUCUGGUCUGUAACUGACGCUGAGGCGCGAAAGCGUGGGGAGCAAACAGGAUUAGAUACCCUGGUAGUCCACGCCGUAAACGAUGAGUGCU